rnacentral:ncRNA from 1 species
CCAUUGAAGCGACAGCAAUGCCGUUUCAAUAGUUUCUCCUCUAUUUCUCCUUUGUAGACUUGGGCGCACAUUGCAAAAUGUGCGCAUUUUU